UACCAGCUCUCCGAGUGGUGUGGAUGUUUAUUGGGCCUAAAGCAUCCGUAGCUGGCUGGGCAAGUCCCCUGUUAAAUCCACCGAUUUAAUCGUUGGUGUGCGGGGGAUACUGUUCGGCUAGGGGACGGGAGAGGCCGACGGUAUUUCCGGGGUAGGGGUGAAAUCCUAUAAUCCCGGGAAGACCACCAGUGGCGAAGGCUGUCGGCUAGAACGCGCCCGACGGUGAGGGAUGAAAGCUGGGGGAGCGAACCGGAUUAGAUACCCGGGUAGUCCCAGCUGUAAACGAUGCAGGCUAGGUGCUUGGGCGGCCACGUGCCGCUCUAGUGCCGCAAGGAAGCUGUUAAGCCUGCCGCCUGGGGAGUACGGCCGCAAGGCUGAAACUUAAAGGAAUUGGCGGGGGAGCACCACAAGGGGUGAAGCUUGCGGUUU
rnacentral:rRNA from 1 species